GCCUGCAUGGUGUAGUGGUUUGAGCAUUAGACUGUGAUUUUGGAGGCCAGGGUUCAAAUCCCAGCUCAGCCA